AACGAACGCUGGCGGCAGGCCUAACACAUGCAAGUCGAGCGCCCCGCAAGGGGAGCGGCGGACGGGUGAGUAACGCGUGGGAACGUACCCUUUGCUACGGAAUAGCCUCGGGAAACUGGGAGUAAUACCGUAUGUGCCCUUCGGGGGAAAGAUUUAUCGGCAAAGGAUCGGCCCGCGUUGGAUUAGGUAGUUGGUGGGGUAAUGGCCUACCAAGCCGACGAUCCAUAGCUGGUUUGAGAGGAUGAUCAGCCACACUGGGACUGAGACACGGCCCAGACUCCUACGGGAGGCAGCAGUGGGGAAUCUUAGACAAUGGGCGCAAGCCUGAUCUAGCCAUGCCGCGUGAGCGAUGAAGGCCUUAGGGUUGUAAAGCUCUUUCAGUGGGGAAGAUAAUGACUGUACCCACAGAAGAAGCCCGGCUAACUCCGUGCCAGCAGCCGCGUAAAGUCUGUACU
rnacentral:rRNA from 1 species